GUGGGGAAUAUUGGACAAUGGGCGCAAGCCUGAUCCAGCAAUGCCGCGUGGGUGAAGAAGGCCUUCGGGUUGUAAAGCCCUUUUGUACGGAAAGAAAUCCUGGUGGUUAAUACCCGCCGGGGAUGACGGUACCGUAAGAAUAAGCACCGGCUAACUUCGUGCCAGCAGCCGCGGUAAUACGAAGGGUGCAAGCGUUAAUCGGAAUUACUGGGCGUAAAGCGUGCGUAGAUGGUUUCUUAAGUCUGUCGUGAAAGCCCUGGGCUCAACCUGGGAAUGGCGAUGGAUACUGGGAGGCUAGAGUGCGGUAGAGGAUGGCGGAAUUCCCGGUGUAGCGGUGAAAUGCGUAGAGAUCGGGAGGAACAUCUGUGGCGAAGGCGGCCAUCUGGACCAGCACUGACACUGAGGCACGAAAGCGUGGGGAGCAAACAGGAUUAGAUACCCCAGUAGUCC
rnacentral:rRNA from 1 species